CUGCGGAGGUCAUUGUUGAU
rnacentral:rRNA from 1 species